GCGCCACUAGCUCAACUGGAUAGAGCAAGGCGUUUCUACCGCCUAGGUUACAGGUUCAAGUCCUGUGUGGUGUACCA
rnacentral:tRNA from 1 species